rnacentral:lncRNA from 1 species
CUUGGCUACCAUGCGUGUAAUUCCUUGUCAAGUGCUAAUUUGGUUUACUGAUGAAGAUGCUGAGCACAAGCUUCUGAAAAUGCAGAAUCACGAAUUCUUCGAAAGACUGCGAACCUUUGUGGAGAAAGACAACUGGGGCACUGGAAAACAUGUAGGUGGGAAAAUAAUUCUGAUGAUCGUUCAGCUCGUCCUUUGCUUCAUAAUUACUUUCUUCUUUCUUAAUUUCUCUCAUGGGUCUUGAUUUCUUCUUGAAUCUUGUUGAUGAUGAGUGGCAUAUGUCGAUAAUUCCUCACCAGAAAAUAAGAUAAAAAGGUAACUUUCUUAAUUUUUAAAAUGCUGAAUUUCAAUUUCAGGUACUAUUUAUUUUGUCUCUUUUAAGUUAUUUUUCAUUUUUCUGUUGAUAUUUUAAUAUUUACAGUCAAUUGUAGCGUUACUUAAAUUUAUAGUAUGUAGAUCAUAAUUCAUAAAUUAGUUUGCAGUUGGAGUAAACUCGAAAAUGUUAAAAAAAAUAAUAACAACAAAAAGAGUAGAGACAGGUUGUCAUCUUGAGUAACAAUAAAAUAAAGAAUUCCAGCUUUUACAAAGUCUUUCUUUAAAAAUAUGAAACGAAUAAAAUGACUAUUAAAAUGGUUCAAAAUUUUCUGAUACUGUCAUUGACUAGCUAGAUCAAUUGUUUCUUGUGUAGUAACUUCAAACACCAAAUCCUUGAAAGCAAGUAUAUUAGUUUUGUAUGGUGUUGCCCAGCCUUCUGCACAUGGUUCAUGAUAUUUGAUCCAACUAUUCGCAAUAGGAGGAAUAGGUGAAGCUGGAAGCAUGAACACCUGUAAAAAAAAAAAGCCAUAGAAAAAUUAGUCCAAUAAUUAAGAUAUUGUAGCAUAAUUUGAAUUUCUAAACUUUUACAUACCUCGAUGAAAUGAUUUCUAUUAACAAAUCCAAUAGCAAUGAUUUUAUGCGAGGAGCGUGAUAAUGGAAUAGAUCUAAGUGGAAGGAAUGUUAGAUUCAGCACAUCUGAUAUAUGUAGUAAUACCACAUUAUAUUUAGAAGCAAUAAUAUGACCAAUUUCAGGCAUGGUCAUCCAAUACUCUCUCCCUGGGUUAUUCUCAAAGUAUAAAAGUGAAUGAAGUAACUCCUCUGCUCUACCAGCAUAUUCAAAGACUCUUUUAUAAUCAUUAAAGUGACUUUGCAACUCAACAACUAAGUCUUUCCUGACUUGUGCCCAGUUAUCUUCACCAAUACCUAUUAGGCCAGCCACUGCCCGAAAACCACAAUUACCAUCUGCAGCAACAUCUCUAACACCACAAAUAUAAGGCCUCAAACCAAAUGGAAAUGAAUCAAUAUAAGAAGCAUGCUUUGGUGCUUUUGUUUGAGAAACAUUCAUUUUUCGUUGCCCUUUUGGUUUUUUUGUAGUUGUACUUGAAGACAUAAUGUCUGGAGAAUGAUUAUCCUGUGCGGAUACUACAUACUCAAAUCUUGAUGGAUCUCGGCGGGUAGAUUUAUCAAGCUUUUGGGAGGGUCGUCCUCGAGUCUUAGCUUUAACAGUUGGCUCAAUUAAAAAAGUUGAGGAUGGAUCAGCUAAUUCUUUCAGUUUUCUUUUUAUUUGCAUUUUUCCGAAACCAUCUGAAUCUUCAAAACGCUUGAUAAUCAUUUCCAUUUCAGGGGUACAACUCAACUCUGCUGAUUUUUCAUAGCUGGUGCAGACAAGGUCUAAUUUCCUCCAAUGCAAAUGUACAGAAUCUAAAGGUAUUGGUCGACCUUCACGCUUAUACUCUGCAAUUUCAUGUGCACACGGUAUCCCAUGAGUGUGUCGAACUACACAACCACAUGCUGAAAUAUCUAUACCAAUUAAAUCAGCUCUUUUUGACUCACUUAGUAUCAUAUCUAAUGCAUUUCUAGCAACUAAUCCCCUUAAUUCUUUAAAAACUGAAGGUGUGAAACUAUGUUGCACAGUAGUCAAACUCUUCUCAAAUGAUGCCUUAAUUUCUGUAUGUUGCAACUCUACUAAAGAAUGAAGUUUUGUCCAUAAUGUUACAAAGUUUCCUUGGGAUGAACAUAGUUGCCUUUUUAAUUUUGAAUGUGCAGUCUCAGCCCUAAAAAUAAACCAACAAAAAAAUAAUAAUAAAAAGAUAUAUAAAAAAAUGGUGUUGAGUUUAGUUAUAAAAUCAUUGAAAACUAAAUAUUGGUUACCUGUUGGUUGUCAUAUUUCCGAAAUGCAUAAUAAAGUCUGUCCAUGCUGCAAUAAAUUUUUCUUUAUACUUAUCAAGCCAUGUUUGCUUCACAUAGACAAGUGCUUUCGGAUAUCUAGCAUAAUCACUCUCAAAAAUACUCAAGUGUUGUAUGUACUCUUGUUCAGUGGCUGAGAACACCAGUACAUUCCAGCUGCUGUUAAAGGCUUCCCAUCUUUCAUUAGUCUCAAAUAGCCUCUUACAAUUAGUUAACACAUUUCUUGAAAUAUGCCAUCUACAAAGUAAAUUAGUUGCACUUGGAAAUAUCUUUUCAAUGGCAUUCAUCAGAGCUAAUUCCCUGUCUGUCACAAUCACAGUUGGUAACAUAUCAUCUUGCAUAAUGGUUUUCAAUCUUUCUAAUGCCCAAAUAUAGUUAUCUUCUCGUUCGGACUCAAGAUAUGCAAAACCAACAUUAAAUGUCAUUGCAGUCGAUGUGACACCAACUAUUUCCAACAACGGAAACUUAUACUUAUUGACUUUAUAAGUGCAGUCCAUUAUCAGAACACUUGGAAAAGCUUUUAACAAAUCAAAAGUAAGAGGAUGUGCCCAAAAUAUGUCUUUCACACAAUUUGUAUCAUCAUCACUCCGAUGCCACUCAAUGUAAUUAUGAUCAUGCAAUUUACUCAUAAGCUGUUGCAUUUGUGACCGCCCGCCCAAUUCGCGAACCUUAUAUUUAUACCGAGCAUUAUAAACCGUCUUCAUUGUUGUAACAUUAAAUGUAUCCCUAGUCUUUAAAGUAUGUAAUAUCUCUUUUGGCCGAACAUUAUUUUUAGACAAAUCAACCAAUAUACUAACCUCUUCAUUAGUAAGUCUACCUGCAAAUGAGUGGCCCUCAAGAUAUUGUGCAGAAUGAUGGUUAUGCAAUCCACAGAUUACUUUUAACACCCAAUCUUGAUUAUUCGCCAACAUUUGACCCUUUAAUAAAAAUGGACAGCCACACUUUUUUGUUCCAAUUGCAUUCGGUCUUUUCUUUUUUUCCAAGUCGCUAUUCUGCUUAGACAUGCUGGUACUUCUUUUCGGAUAUGCACCACUUCUUUCACAAGCAAAAAUUAUCCUUGGUCUCCUUCCAAUCACAUUCACGUCAGAUCUUUUAAUAACAAUCACAAGUCCAUUUUUUUUCCCAACAUCAUGCGUCCAUCGAAUCAACUCUUCUCUACUGGUGAAAACCUAUGAAAAAGACAAUAAUAUAUUAGUUAAUGAUACAAAGAAAAGAGAAUAUAUGUAUGAAAAUUUAUUUAGCAUUUUACCUCUUCAGUAGUGAAUGCAGCAGUGUAAUCCAUAACAUCUACUUUAUUAUCAAGAAUGGCAACUAUGGUAGAACUUUCCUCCUUCACAAUCAUUGUAAGAUAUUACAUAAGUUAAUACAAGACACAAAACUCGAAUAAUAGCAAUUUAUUCAGCAAUAAUCAACCAAACAAUUGACAUUUGUUAAAGGAUAUUUGUUGAACAUUGUUCAACGCUCUCCCUAUCAUUAUAAUUCUAAAACAAUAAAUUAAUAGCAAACUUACUUUUUUAUUAUCAUCCUCAUCUGUUUGCAUGAUUAUUUUGCCCUAAAUUUGAAACUCUUAGAUUAGGGUUUUUGAAAGAAAAGAGAGUUUAUAUCGUAUGCCACACAAAGAAUUUAAAACUCUUAAACAAAAAAAUGUCGUAUAAGAAAUUUUUAAGGGGAAAAAAAUAUUUGAUUUUGAGUGGGGGUUUAAUUAGAAAUUGUCUUAUUAUGUAAUUUUAAUAAAGGUUAAAAUUGUAAAAUAACUAAAGGGGUGUUAAGAGGCAUUUAGAGGGGUGCCAAUAGUCCCACUCGUUGUAAUUAAGCUUUUGAUUCUGAUUCCUAGGGCUUCUGAUCCUGAGGCUGGACAGGAUAUGGAGGUGCAGGAGGCCCAUAAUACUGUGGCAUUCUUGCUGCUUGACUUCGGCCUCUAUACCUACCAAGUAGAUAAAAUGCCAAAGCUACGAUCAAGAUGAACAGUAUGAACGGCAGCGAUACCUCAACAAUAUAAACCAUUUUCAACUCUAUUAAUCAACCAACCGACCAAUCAAUCACUGCUCUUCCUCCUCCAGCUACUUCUGCAUC